rnacentral:misc_RNA from 1 species
GAUGAAGAACGUAGCGAAAUGCGAUAAGUAAUGUGAAUUGCAGAAUUCAGUGAAUCAUCGAAUCUUUGAACGCACCUUGCACCCUUUGGCAUUCCGAAGGGUAUGCUCGUUUGAGUGUCAUUGUACUCUCACACUCCCAAUUGCUUUGGAUUGGGAGCGGUGGACUUGGGUGUUGCUGCUUGACUGAGGCUCACCUGAAAUAUGUUAGUGCACCUCUUGAUUGGACAUAGUACGGCGUGAUAAGUGUCUUCGCCGGCUCCUCGCAAAGAGGGUGGCCGAUCGGGAGCUCUGUUGCUUCAAACUGUCUGCGGACAAUCUUCUGGCGACUUGACCUCAAAUCGAGUAGGACUACCCGCUGAACUUAAGCAUAUCAAAAGCGGAGGA